rnacentral:rRNA from 1 species
UUGAAGAGUUUGAUCAUGGCUCAGAUUGAACGCUGGCGGCAGGCCUAACACAUGCAAGUCGAACGGUAACAGGAAACAGCUUGCUGUUUCGCUGACGAGUGGCGGACGGGUGAGUAAUGUCUGGGAAACUGCCCGAUGGAGGGGGAUAACUACUGGAAACGGUAGCUAAUACCGCAUAACGUCGCAAGACCAAAGAGGGGGACCUUAGGGCCUCUUGCCAUCGGAUGUGCCCAGAUGGGAUUAGCUAGUAGGUGGGGUAAAGGCUCACCUAGGCGACGAUCCCUAGCUGGUCUGAGAGGAUGACCAGCCACACUGGAACUGAGACACGGUCCAGACUCCUACGGGAGGCAGCAGUGGGGAAUAUUGCACAAUGGGCGCAAGCCUGAUGCAGCCAUGCCGCGUGUAUGAAGAAGGCCUUCGGGUUGUAAAGUACUUUCAGCGGGGAGGAAGGGAGUAAAGUUAAUACCUUUGCUCAUUGACGUUACCCGCAGAAGAAGCACCGGCUAACUCCGUGCCAGCAGCCGCGGUAAUACGGAGGGUGCAAGCGUUAAUCGGAAUUACUGGGCGUAAAGCGCACGCAGGCGGUUUGUUAAGUCAGAUGUGAAAUCCCCGGGCUCAACCUGGGAACUGCAUCUGAUACUGGCAAGCUUGAGUCUCGUAGAGGGGGGUAGAAUUCCAGGUGUAGCGGUGAAAUGCGUAGAGAUCUGGAGGAAUACCGGUGGCGAAGGCGGCCCCCUGGACGAAGACUGACGCUCAGGUGCGAAAGCGUGGGGAGCAAACAGGAUUAGAUACCCUGGUAGUCCACGCCGUAAACGAUGUCGACUUGGAGGUUGUGCCCUUGAGGCGUGGCUUCCGGAGCUAACGCGUUAAGUCGACCGCCUGGGGAGUACGGCCGCAAGGUUAAAACUCAAAUGAAUUGACGGGGGCCCGCACAAGCGGUGGAGCAUGUGGUUUAAUUCGAUGCAACGCGAAGAACCUUACCUGGUCUUGACAUCCACGGAAGUUUUCAGAGAUGAGAAUGUGCCUUCGGGAACCGUGAGACAGGUGCUGCAUGGCUGUCGUCAGCUCGUGUUGUGAAAUGUUGGGUUAAGUCCCGCAACGAGCGCAACCCUUAUCCUUUGUUGCCAGCGGUCCGGCCGGGAACUCAAAGGAGACUGCCAGUGAUAAACUGGAGGAAGGUGGGGAUGACGUCAAGUCAUCAUGGCCCUUACGACCAGGGCUACACACGUGCUACAAUGGCGCAUACAAAGAGAAGCGACCUCGCGAGAGCAAGCGGACCUCAUAAAGUGCGUCGUAGUCCGGAUUGGAGUCUGCAACUCGACUCCAUGAAGUCGGAAUCGCUAGUAAUCGUGGAUCAGAAUGCCACGGUGAAUACGUUCCCGGGCCUUGUACACACCGCCCGUCACACCAUGGGAGUGGGUUGCAAAAGAAGUAGGUAGCUUAACCUUCGGGAGGGCGCUUACCACUUUGUGAUUCAUGACUGGGGUGAAGUCGUAACAAGGUAACCGUAGGGGAACCUGCGGUUGGAUCACCUCCUU